UCUAAGUACAUGUGAUUUUUCACGAAACCGCGUAUGGCUCAUUAUAACAGCUAUAAUUUACUUGAUUUUGACAUAAAUCCUACAUGGAUAACUGUGGUAAUUCUGGAGCUAAUACAUGCAUAAAAGUUGAAACUUAUGGUUUCAAUGCGUAUAUUAGUUGAAAACCAAGCAUCUUCGGAUGUUUUGUGUUGAAACUGAAUAUAUCUGCUGAUCGUAUGGUCUUGUACCGACGACAUGUCAUUCAAGUGUCUGAUCUAUCAACUUUCUAUAUAAGUAUAUAGUACUUAUAUGGUUUUGACGGAUAACGGAGUAUUAGGGUACGACUCCGGAGAAAAUGCCUGAGAAACGGCGUUUACAUCCAAGGAAGGCAGCAGGCGCGAAAAUUACCCACUCUCAGUUCGAGGAGGUAGUGACGAGAAAUGACAAGAUCUAUUCCUUCGGGGAUGGAUCAUUGGAAUGGUUUGAUUUUAAAACCAUUAAAGAGUAUCAAUGAGAGGGCAAGUCUGGUGCCAGCAGCCGCGGUAAUUCCAGCUCUCAUACUGCAUUGAAUUGUUGUUGCGGUUAAAAAGCUCGUAGUUGGAUCUGUACACGAUAGGGUGGUUCGUCCUUUGGAUGGUAACUACUACUAAGUGUUUUUUAUAAGAUUUUGUACUCUUUAAUCGGGGUACAUGUCUUAUAAGUUUACUUUGAAUAAAUCAGAGUGCUCAAAACAGGCGUAAGCUUGUAUGGUUUUGCAUGGAAUAAUAGAACAUGACUAUGGUUCAUGUUUUAUUGGUUUUACUUACCAUAGUAAUGAUUAAAAGGAACAAACGGGGGCAUCCGUAUCGCAGGGCGAGAGGUGAAAUUCGUGGACCCUUGCGAGACGAACUACAG
rnacentral:rRNA from 3 species